rnacentral:pre_miRNA from 1 species
CAACUACUCCCUCUGUCCCAAAUUUCUUGUCUUAGAUUGUCUAGAUACGGAUGUAUCUAAUACUAAAAUGUGACUUGAUACAUCUGUAUCUAGAAAAAUCUAAGACAAGGAUUUUGGGACGGAGGGAGUACUUU